rnacentral:lncRNA from 1 species
CUUGUCAUUUUCUCUCUGGUCUAGAGAUUUAACACAAUUUUUGAUACUGCUAGAGGACAUGGCUCUGUUUUUGCGCAUCAUUGUAUUAUUUGCUCACAGUUACUGCCUAUUGCCACUGGGUGAGGGUCAAGAGCCACAUAUUCUGAGCCCUCUGUGGUCCACUGAGAUCCAGGAACUGGAGCCAUGCUGGGCUUUGGCCCCAACUCUGGUUUACGGCGGUACAGUGGCUGUGUUUAGGUGGGAGAGACACAGGCAGUCUAGGAUUUGAGGUCUGCUUCCUGGCUGGUGAGAGAUUUGCUGCUUCUCUGGCUCCUGCUCAGCUCAUUUGUUGGAGGAUAAAAAAGGCCAAGCUUGGUCCACAGAUGGGUAGCUUGUAUGUGGGCACAAGUGAAGACGGACUGCUGCCCCUCACCCCAUCGCAGGGUGGCCCUCAAAGAAAGCGAAUGCUGCAUAUGGCCAGUCCUUUAACACAGGCUCUGCUCAUCAUUCCAGCUCCUCCAGAUCUUUUUGGAGAGGCUUAGAGAUGAUCAAGGUAAAAUCUUUUCUGGACUGGGAUAUGUCACGUGAACUCAUCUACCUUGUGAAACAAGGGAUGUGGGAAAUUCAAAAAGAAUUUGGUGGCUAGUUGGCAAUAGG